GAAAACAUCCUUUAGCUAAUUUCUUGAUUCUCCUCUUGAACUUGGGUACGUUGCUAUCUUCUUUAGCAUGUCCAUAUUGCCCUUAUCCUACUCCUCCCCCUCCGUGUCCCCCAACAUUUCCACCAAAACACCCUCCACAUGUAAAGCCACCUUUCCACCCCAAACCACCGCAUCACAAGCCACCCCAUGUCAAACCACCGCACAAGCCCCCGUAUGUUCCUAAACCACCUUAUUCCCCAAGCCCUAAACCGCCUUACGUGCCAAAACCACCUCAUACUCCAGUCCCUAGGCCACCAUAUUUCCCCAAACCACCUUACACACCAAGGCCUAAGCCACCAUAUGCGCCAAAACCACCUUAUACGCCAACCCCUAAGCCACCAUAUUUCCCCAAACCACCUUACACACCAAGGCCGAAGCCACCAUAUGUGCCAAAACCACCUUAUACGCCAGCCCCUAAGCCACCAUAUUUUCCCAAACCACCUUACACACCAAGGCCUAAGCCACCAUAUGCACCAAAACCACCUUAUACGCCAACACCUAAGCCACCAUAUUUCCCCAAACCACCUUACACACCAAGGCCUAAGCCACCGUACGUGCCAAAACCACCGUACACACCAAGGCCUAAGCCACCGUACGUGCCAAAACCACCAUACACACCAACCCCUAAGCCACCGUACGUGCCAAAACCACCUUACACCCCAACCCCUAAGCCACCGUACGUGCCAAAACCACCGUAUACCCCAACUCCUAAGCCACCGUACGUCCCAUCGCCACCUUAUACCCCUCGCCCUAAACCACCGUAUGUACCAUCACCACCUUAUACCCCUAGCCCUAAACCACCGUAUGUGCCAUCACCACCAUAUACCCCAAGCCCUACCCCACCAUAUGUACCAUCACCACCGUAUACCCCAAGCCCACCAUAUGUACCAUCACCACCGUAUACCCCAAGCCCUAGCCCACCACCACCACCAAGUGGAACACCGUGUCCUCCGCCGCCGCCACCAAAGGUGAGACCGUACCCUCCACCACCAUCACAAACUUGUCCCAUUGAUACUCUCAAGCUUGGUGCAUGCGUCGACGUGUUGGGCGGUCUAAUACACAUCGGUAUAGGCAGCAGUGCAAAGGACGCUUGCUGCCCCGUGCUGCAGGGGCUACUGGACUUGGAUG
rnacentral:lncRNA from 1 species